AAAAAAGACAGACAAUAUGGCAAAUGUGUGAGCCAAAGCAGUUGGCAAAAGUGUCGUAAAUCGUUUAGACGGGGCCAAAAUGUGGAGGCAGUACGAAACGAUAUGUAAACGACACAGUCGCCGUGGGAAAAACUGCCACAAAAAAAAGAAGAAAAGACAAAAGCCCCCCAAAAACGACCACCAACAAAAACAACAGCAAAAGUAUCAACGAAGGGACACUCCAGAAAGCCCAAGAAAAAAACCUGGCAUCUGUCUGAUGAGCCACAUUUAUAUGCCAUACUAAAAGGAAAGACUGAAAUCGAAUGCGAUACCUCAAAUGACUUAAACUGGAAGACAAAAUGAUUUGCAAUUACAUUUUAAACUUUAAAUUCCUCCUGACCCGAUAUGUGUAUGAGGCCUU